rnacentral:rRNA from 1 species
UACGAAGGGGGCGAGCGUUGUUCGGAAUUACUGGGCGUAAAGGGCGCGCAGGCGGUCCUUCAAGUCAGAUGUGAAAGCCCCGGGCUCAACCUGGGAACUGCAUUUGAGACUGGAGGACUUGAGGACGGGAGAGGUGAGUGGAAUUCCUGGUGUAGCGGUGAAAUGCGUAGAUAUCAGGAGGAACACCGGUGGUGUAGACGGCUCACUGGACCAUAACUGACGCUGAGACACGAAAGCGUGGGUAGCAAACAGG